rnacentral:rRNA from 1 species
GGACUACCGGGGUAUCUAAUCCCGUUCGCUACCCUGGCUUUCGCUCCUCAGCGUCAGAAUCAGGCCAGAAAGCCGCCUUCGCCACUGGUGUUCCUCCGAAUCUCUACGCAUUUCACCGCUACACUCGGAAUUCCGCUUUCCUCUCCUGUCCUCAAGAAUCGCCGUAUCGCAGAAGACUCCUCCGUUAAGCAGAGAAAUUUACUCCACGACGCACGACCCCGCCUACGAGCUCUUUACGCCCAGUGAUUCCGGACAACGCUCGCACCCUACGUCUUACCGCGGCUGCUGGCAC